rnacentral:lncRNA from 1 species
AACAAAACAACAACAACACUCAUUUCGUCCUUACAUACCCUAUUAGCUAUUUCCCCAAUUCAUUACACUUUUUUUCUUUCUUUCUGGUUUUACGUAUACAACUUUAAGUCAUGUUUCUUUUAGAUUUUUUUUUUAACCUACUCUCCCUCCACAAUUUAAAGAGCUUGUGGAUAUCAGCAGGUUGAAUGAAAUUUUACCAGGAAUUAACUUAUCUGCUAUGAGUAAUUCAACAGUGUGUUAUUAAGACAAUGUGGAUUUUUAGUCAGGAACAAACAAGAAGAAAAAAGAGGGAGUGGUCAGUGAGUCAAAGAGAAGCUCCAUGGAGGUAGGUGGUCAGAGAGAACUCCCAGGGUCAGGGUGGCCACAUAACAAUAUUCAGUUUUGAGUUCUGGAAGGUAUUUAAUAUAAAACACUGCAUCCUCCCACCUGUAAAUGCCUAUGACAUAGCAUUGUGCCAGUUAUAUGUCAGAGAAUAAAGAAUUUAGUGUUCAGAAUAAGCACUGAGUGGAGCCACCAAGGGACGGUUG